GUAAUGGUUAGCACUCUGGACUCUGAAUCC
rnacentral:piRNA from 6 species